GGACCCGGCGCGCGCGGAGUCUGGCGCAGAGCGCUGGGACUGCGCCGCCGCUCGGGCUCCGGCUUCUCCGCGGGGCUCGGCGCGCGAAUUCUGGCGAGGCCCGCGGGCUCCCGGGCGGGCGACCCAGCAUGGCGGUGGAGGAAGAGGGGCUCCGGGUCUUCCAGAGCGUGAAGAUCAAGAUCGGUGAAGCCAAAAAUCUUCCCACUUACCCGGGGCCAAACAAGAUGCGAGAUUGCUACUGCACUGUGAACCUGGACCGGGAGGAGGUUUUCAGGACCAAAAUUGUGGAGAAGUCACUCUGCCCCUUCUAUGGAGAAGACUUCUACUGUGAGAUCCCUCGGAGCUUUCGGCACCUGUCCUUUUACAUUUUCGAUAGAGAUGUUUUCCGGAGGGACUCCAUCAUAGGGAAGGUGGCCAUUCAGAAGGAGGACUUGCCAAAGUAUCACAACAGGGACACUUGGUUCCAGCUGCAGCACGUGGACGCCGACUCAGAAGUGCAGGGCAAAGUCCACCUGGAGCUGAGGCUGAGUGAGGUCAUCACCGACACGGGCGUCGUCUGCCACAAGCUGGCCACGCGCAUCCUCGAGUGCCAAGGCCUCCCCAUCGUGAAUGGGCAGUGUGACCCUUACGCGACUGUGACUCUAGCAGGACCAUACAGAUCGGAAGCAAAGAAGACAAAAGUGAAGAAGAGGACCGACAACCCCCAGUUUGAUGAAGUGUUUUAUUUUGAGGUGACCAGACCCUGCAGCUACAGCCGAAAGUCCCACUUUGACUUCGAGGAGGAGGACGUGGACAAACUUGAAAUCCGAGUUGACCUCUGGAAUGCCAGCAACUUGAAAUUUGGAGAUGAGUUUCUGGGAGAGCUGAGGGUUCCGCUGAAUGUGCUCCGCCAGUCCAGCUGCUAUGAAGCCUGGUACUUCCUUCAGCCCCGAGACAACGGCAGCAAGAGCCUGAAGCCGGGGGACUUGGGGUCCCUGCGGCUGAACGUGGUGUACACCGAGGACCAUGUCUUCUCCUCCGACUACUACAGCUCGCUGCGGGACCUGCUGUUGAGGUCUGCGGACGUGGAGCCAGUGUCGGCAUCCGCGGCGCACGUCCUGGGUGAGGUCUGCAGGGAGAAGCAGGAGGCAGCCGUCCCGCUCGUGCGGUUCUUCCUGCAUUACGGCAGGGUGGUGCCCUUCAUCAGCGCCAUUGCCAACGCCGAGGUCCAGAGGACCCAGGACCCCAACACCAUUUUCCGAGGAAACUCGUUGACAUCCAAGUGCAUUGACGAGACGAUGAAGCUGGCCGGGAUGCACUACCUACACGUGACCCUGAAGCCCACCAUAGAGGAGAUAUGCCAGAGCCACAAAUCCUGUGAAAUCGACCCCGUGAAGCUAAAAGAUGGGGAGAACCUGGAAAACAACAUGGAGAACCUACGGCAGUACGUGGACCGAAUCUUCCACGUCAUCACCAAGUCGGGAGUGAGCUGCCCCACCGUCAUGUGUGACAUCUUCUUCUCUCUUCGCGAGGCGGCCGCCAAACGCUUCCAGGAUGACCUGGACGUGAGGUACACGGCUGUGAGCGGCUUCAUUUUCCUGAGGUUUUUCGCUCCUGCCAUCCUGUCCCCCAACCUCUUCCAGCUCACGCCUCACCACACAGACCCACAGACGUCUAGGACGCUGACACUUAUCUCCAAGACUAUUCAGACUCUUGGCAGCUUGUCCAAGUCAAAAUCUGCCAGCUUUAAGGAAUCCUACAUGGCUGCAUUCUAUGAAUUCUUCAAUGAGCAAAAAUACGCUGAUGCAGUAAAAAACUUUUUAGAUCUGAUCUCAUCAUCUGGGAGAAGAGACCCCAAGAGCAUAGAGCAACCCAUCCUGCUUAAGGAAGGGUUCAUGAUUAAGAGGGCACAAGGACGGAAACGUUUUGGAAUGAAGAAUUUUAAGAAAAGAUGGUUCCGCCUGACCAACCAUGAGUUUACCUACCAGAAAAGCAAAGGAGACCAGCCUCUGUGCAGCAUUCCCAUCGAGAACAUUCUGGCCGUGGAGGGACUGGAGGAGGAGUCCUUCAAGAUGAAGAAUAUGUUCCAGGUCAUCCAGCCCGAGCGAGCCCUGUACAUCCAGGCCAACAACUGUGUGGAGGCCAAGGCCUGGAUCGACAUCCUCACCAAGGUCAGCCAGUGCAACAAGAAACGCCUCACUGUCUACCACCCAUCCGCCUACCUGAACGGCCACUGGCUAUGCUGCAGGGCCUCCUCGGACACGGCCCCGGGCUGCUCCCCCUGCACCGGCGGCCUCCCAGCAAACAUCCAGCUGGACAUCGAUGGGGACCGAGAGACCGAGCGCAUUUACUCCCUCUUCAACUCGUACAUGAGCAAACUGGAGAAAAUGCAAGUCGCCCUGCCCUGGGCAGGGUGUCCGUGGAGUUCCUGCCCUGACCUCCGGCCCCUCCCAACGCCGCAGAGGCCUGUGGCAGCAGGUCUGUGUACGACGGACCGGAGCAGGAGGAGUACUCGACAUUCAUCAUUGACGACCCCCAGGAGACCUACAAGACACUAAAGCAGGUCAUCGCUGGGGUCGGGGCCCUGGAACAGGAGCACGCCCAGUACAAAAGGGACAAGUUCAAGAAGACCAAGUACGGGAGCCAGGAGCACCCCAUUGGCGACAAGAGCUUCCAGAGUUACAUCAGGCAGCAGUCCGAGACCUCCACCCAUUCCAUCUGAAGCACGAUGUUCUGUCCCAGGACGGUGCCCUGUGCUGCUCGGGAAAGCUGCAGUCUUCAGGAAGGAGGGAACAGAGACAGGACAGUAGAGCAAGGGAUCCACGCUCCUGCAGCUCCCCUCUGAGCAGCGCCGGGCUCACCUCCGAGACGCUCCAGGGGCCGUGUCUGGGGUUGCUGGUGCGCUGACCUCACACAGGUGGCAGGCGACCUAGCUGGCCUCUCUGGAAGGAGGCACCAGGGACGCCGCGCCCUCUGCAGACUUAGCGCUUGUGUGUCCUGUGCACUUUCACCUUGGCUGGGCUCUGCGUGCCCGCGCCCGUGGAGCCCUCCGGCCCCCUCCUUUCACACACUGUGCUUCAGCAAAACCAGGACGCUGUGCGCGUUGUCUCCCGUGAGGCUGCCUGCUGGCGGCCGUGGGCUCCGGCCCUCCGGUUCCGGCCGUUGACGUUGGCGGUAAUCCUGGCUGAAGGUCCGUGUGUAGUUUCUUUGUGCAAUCCUGCACGAAGACCCCAGUGCGAGGCUGCUCCUGGUGUUUGGGGGAAUGGGGUCCUUCUGCAGAGAGUACCUGGGGGGGGUCCAGUCUGCUCUCCCAGACACUGGUGUCCCUCUCCCGUGGGCUGCGGGCGCUGCCGGAGCCGGCGACGGGCCGCGCUGAGCAUCCACGCCAGCCCCCUUGGAGCAAAAGUGGCUGGUUUGCUGUCAGUGGAACUUCAAGUAGAAGCCACGUCAGCCACCCCUUCUGGAAGUUUGGGGAAGUUCCAAAAAUAGAAACGUGCAUUAUUUUCAAGCUGUUUUUCUUAGUGUUUUUAAAGAACCAUUUCUAGUGUGCUCUUUGAUACCAAGUACCUCAGUACAUCUAGACCUGUACCCCUCACGGGGGGGGUGCCCAGCAGGGCCACAAAGGGGGUGAGCUGCUUCUCCCAGAAGCCGGUGGAAGGCCCUCCAGACACCAAGGAAGGCGGAUUCCUGAGCCUUGGAGACCCCCAGCCCCCAGGAGCAGGACUUUGCUGGGUCUCUGUGAAGCCCCCAGAAGAUGUCAGGCAGUGGUGGGUGCUUUUCUGUUGGGGCGGGGGGUCCUGACGUGGGGCAGUGAGCCUUUGAGCUUGGAGAGCACUGUUCAAACACACAGACCUUCUGCCAUCUCUGCUUUUAUUUGCAAAUACUGUCCUUCAGACUCUGAACAAUGGCAGAUAGUAACGUUACUUGUCACGAAAGCGGUGGAGGAAAGUGUUGCAAAAAAUAAACUUUGGGACACACAGCUAUUAGGCUGCACUGAACUGCAAUUUUUAACAUGGAUUUGUAACUUAAUGUUUCUGUUUAUAAGAUGCUAAUGAUUUGCAAUGUAUUUUACUGGCCAAUUAACACAGACGUUUUAUUCUU